rnacentral:rRNA from 1 species
GUGGGGAAUUUUGGACAAUGGGCGCAAGCCUGAUCCAGCAAUGUCGCGUGCAGGAAGAAGGCCUUCGGGUUGUAAACUGCUUUUGUACGGAACGAAAAGGCUCUGGUUAAUACCUGGGGCUCAUGACGGUACCGUAAGAAUAAGCACCGGCUAACUACGUGCCAGCAGCCGCGGUAAUACGUAGGGUGCAAGCGUUAAUCGGAAUUACUGGGCGUAAAGCGUGCGCAGGCGGUUUUGUAAGACAGACGUGAAAUCCCCGGGCUCAACCUGGGAAUGGCGUUUGUGACUGCAAAGCUGGAGUGCGGCAGAGGGGGAUGGAAUUCCGCGUGUAGCAGUGAAAUGCGUAGAUAUGCGGAGGAACACCGAUGGCGAAGGCAAUCCCCUGGGCCUGCACUGACGCUCAUGCACGAAAGCGUGGGGAGCAAACAGGAUUAGAAACCCUGGUAGUCC